rnacentral:snoRNA from 1 species
ACUGGAAUCAGCUCCCAGAAAUAAUCUGUUGGUCUUGAUUCACUGGUGGGGUAGUCAUUGCCCCUGUUAGUGCUCAGAUCAGAAACAUGC